rnacentral:lncRNA from 1 species
CAGCCUUCGUGUCCCCACCUCCGGCAACCCGAUCGGAUGACCCGACCCGAGCUUUCGAGAGUCGGCUUUGAUACCAUAUGAAACAACCCGGGUCAAAUCCCGAGUUCGGAACAAAUCUUGGGUCAAAUCCCAAGUCCGAAUCGAAUCAAAUCCAUCCAAAUAAGGCCUCAAACCACUGGCCCAAUAGUAUUUUCUUGGGUCAUCUAGCCCACCACAGGCUCCCAAAAG